UACGUAGGGGGCAAGCGUUGUCCGGAAUCAUUGGGCGUAAAGCGCGUGUAGGCGGCUGAGUAAGUCUGCUCUGAAAGCCCGGGGCUCAACCCCGGGAGGCGGGUGGAUACUGCUGAGCUCGAGUCCGGAAGAGGAGUGUGGAAUUCCUGGUGUAGCGGUGAAAUGCGCAGAUAUCAGGAGGAACACCAAUGGCGAAGGCAGCACUCUGGGAAGGUACUGACGCUGAGACGCGAAAGCGUGGGGAGCAAACAGG
rnacentral:rRNA from 1 species